UACGAAGGGGGCUAGCGUUGCUCGGAAUCACUGGGCGUAAAGGGUGCGUAGGCGGGUCUUUAAGUCAGGGGUGAAAUCCUGGAGCUCAACUCCAGAACUGCCUUUGAUACUGAGGAUCUUGAGUUCGGGAGAGGUGAGUGGAACUGCGAGUGUAGAGGUGAAAUUCGUAGAUAUUCGCAAGAACACCAGUGGCGAAGGCGGCUCACUGGCCCGAUACUGGACGCUGAGGCACGAAAAGCGUGGGGAGCAAACAGGG
rnacentral:rRNA from 1 species